AUUCACAUCUAGGGAGGGGAGAUGGGGCACCACAGAGAGCAGGGGGUCACGCCCGCCCACGCCACGUGCGUCCAGAGAACGCCUUGCAGGUGCAAAUUGUGGCCCCUCUGCUGUGGAUGCGAGCGCACGAGGUAACGUGACGACACGCUCUCAAUUGCCCCUCACGCGGCCGGUCGCUCGCGCGUCCCAAAGCCCAGGUCCGGAGCAUGCCCGCAGAAGCAGGGGUUUGGGCCCCUUCGCGCCACGCCGGCCACAAGAGAAAUGCCCUCCUCCCUCCAGAAGCCCAAGUUAUUAGCAGGCCUGUCAGCAUGGCGGGAUCUCUGCCUGGCACUUAUUCCCACCAGGGGAAGAUAUAUAGAUAUAAUAUAGACGCUACGCGAACCUUCGCUGGGCCUAACCACGUGCACAACCUCCACCGCCUGCGCGGUGGCACAGAGCAGGCCCCGGUCCCCUCUGCCUUACCCCGGGCGUAAAUCAGGACCGUGCCCUGCCUCCCAGAGACGUGGCCCGUAAGAGUCGGCGCGAGGGGCCAACGCAACCGGGACGCUGGACCUGGCACGCCACGACAGGCCCCGAUUUCCCGAGAGCGGACGCACGGCGCUUCGUGAAGACCGAGGUCUUUUUAUAGGGUCUCCUGUUGCCCCCAAGACGGAAGCACCCCACAUGACCACAUCAGACCGCAGACUAGGGAGCGGGGCCAGGUCUCCGGUGCAGGGGGUGCAUCAGACAGGGUCCCCCCGCCGCAGCACGACCACGCCACGGGCCCAGAGGCGGGAAGCAGCCCCCCCACAGCUGCCCUGUUUGCCAAGCGCUGGUUGCUAGCGCUCGGGAGACUAGCAGGAGCAUUGCAAGGCUCUGUUUCCACUCGGCUGACACACUAUUUAUAGAAGCCUACAAUUCUCCCAGAGCUUUCCUCGGGAUCUCAACAGAAAUAGCCUGCCCCAGGCCCCUCUGCUUCCGAGGAGGAGGAGGAGGAGACGGCCAGGGUGCACGCGCUGCCCAAGCGCCCCUUCGGGCCACCUCUCCCCCGCGACCUGGUGCCAACACCGCCCUGGCGUCGAGUGGGGCCGACCCGCUCGCAGACGCCAGGGGCAGGCGGCGGCGGCUCUGCUGGGAAAAUUAACAAAAAAUAAUAAUGGAAAAAAAUAAAUAAAUCAAUGGAGCGGGGGUGCUCCGAGAUCGGGUCAGGUGGCCGCCGGCGGCGCCCACAGAGCUACACCCACGACGGCUCAGGCCUACGCAGAGCAGAAUUCGGCCUCCGGCUCUUUCCACACCCCCCCCACCAACGAAUUCCAGAGAUCAGCAAGAAAGACGGCGUGUCUCGGUAACCCGGGGAAAGCAGCAUUUCCUGGGACCUCCGGCAGCCUCCCAGGGGUCUGGCAGAGUUGGAGACAGCUGUCUGGGUCUCCCCACCUUGGCACUAGGAGCUGUACAUACACAUCAUAAAGGCCAACCCCAUCCCCAAGCAGCUGAUAGUCUAAGCAGGAAAGGCAGGCACGGGAUGGAAGGGAAACAUGCUCAGAAAAGACAAGUGACUUGCCCAAGCUCAUGUGGUAAGGCAGCGGCAGAGCCUGGAAUAGACCCCAGGCGUCCUAACGCCCACCCCGCAGCCUGCCCCACGCACCACAUUGCCUCCGCCUCUCCAAGGGAGCCGCGCGGCUGCAGGGCUUCCCCUCCACGGAUCUCCAAGCGCCGUUGGCUUCCCAGAGGCUCGCCGAGACAAUCCAAUUAAAACACGUAAUUUGACUGAGGUCUGUUGUGACAUUUCAUUUCCAUGAGUGAAGGGUUAACUCCAGGGGAUUGCGAAGAUCCUGGCACGUUAAUCGCACGUGAGUCAUCCCUGAAAUAAGGCAGGGGUGCGAGAUGGAGAGGAAAACUUUGCACCUGGAAAUAUCAGCCCCCUCCCCACCUACCCAGGGUCACGGGUUUAAUUCACACCGAGCCAUCAGCACACAAGCAGGACCAAAUCCUACUUGCACACGCACGUUUACUCUCAAACUGCCUGGCCCAUGGCAUCGGCUUCGAACGCUCUUGCUAUUUUGGGGACCUCAUCCGAAUCAAUAAGGAUUCACCUCUUCCCCUCUCGAGGGCUUCACCCCAUCUGAAUACGGCACGCCUACACCUGAAGGAACGCCCUGCCCGAGCAGGAUGCCCGCUAUCGGGGUGCCGUGUCCGGAGAGAAAAGAAGCGGGUGGGAGGAAGAAAAAAAAAAAAGGCCGUGCAGAAAACCUUACAUUGCAAGAAGAAGAGGUUUAAAUUUUAAAAGAUUUAUUAAUUUAAUCUAAAAGCAUUAAAAGGUCAUGUAUUAAUCAAA